rnacentral:misc_RNA from 1 species
GUUACCAUGUUAUGUAUGUAUAUGAACCAAGGAAAAAAAUCAUGUAAAUUUCAUAUGUUUAAUUUAACUAUAUGUUCCACUUUUUCGAGAUACUAAUUUAUUUAUUUUUUUGGAAUGGUAGUUUGUCCUUGUUGAAUUGUUUUGCAUCAUUGAUACUCUACCUCCGAACAUUGACAUCAUUAUUUCAUGCCUGGCUAAUUCCACGAGUACUUAUUACUUUCCACCAAUACAGAAAUCGAUCGACUCUGUCCACCAAAGCACGGACGGA